UACGUAGGGGGCUAGCGUUGUCCGGAAUCAUUGGGCGUAAAGAGCGUGUAGGCGGUCCGGUAAGUCCGCUGUGAAAGUCGGGGGGCUCAACCCUCGAAUGCCGGUGGAUACUGUCGGGCUAGAGUGCGGAAGAGGCGAGUGGAAUUCCUGGUGUAGCGGUGAAAUGACGCAGAUAUCAGGAGGAACACCGGUGGCGAAGGCGGGUCUCUGGGCCGAUACUGACGCUGAGGAGCGAAAGCGUGGGGAGCGAACAGG
rnacentral:rRNA from 1 species